AACGAACGCUGGCGGCAGGCCUAACACAUGCAAGUCGAGCGCGCCCUUCGGGGUGAGCGGCGGACGGGUUAGUAACGCGUGGGAACGUGCCCAGAUCUAAGGAAUAGCCACUGGAAACGGUGAGUAAUACCUUAUACGCCCUUCGGGGAAAGAUUUAUCGGAUUUGGAUCGGCCCGCGUUAGAUUAGAUAGUUGGUGGGGUAACGGCCUACCAAGUCUACGAUCUAUAGCUGGUUUAGAGGAUGAUCAGCAACACUGGGACUGAGACACGGCCCAGACUCCUACGGGAGGCAGCAGUGGGGAUCUUGGACAAUGGGCGCAAGCCUGAUCCAGCCAUGCCGCGUGAGUGAUGAAGGCCCUAGGGGUCGUAAAGCUCUUUCGCCGGAGAUAAUGACUACGGUAAGAACCCCGGCUAAC
rnacentral:rRNA from 1 species